GACUCCAAAUUCCAUACCUCCCUCACAUUAAUUUAUCAAGUUACCUACCUGGGAGCAAGGCACUAAGGAAAUGGAACAUGAGUGGAAGGCAAUAAAGGCCACCAUCCUUGCAGGAGAAUGAAUCCAGAGGCCUGAAAGGAAGCUGCUAUUUCUGCUAGAGGCAGUGAUCUCUGGGAGGGCUACACCUGAGGGACUCAAGGGAUCUGUGCUACUUAACAUUUUUAUCGAUGACUUGGAUGAAGGUACAGAUGGUAUUUUCAACAAAUCUGCCUGUGAAACAAAGCUGGGAGGGAGA